CAUCGCCGCGGGAAUACGAAGGGGGCUAGCGUUGUUCGGAAUUACUGGGCGUAAAGCGCACGUAGGCGGACAUUUAAGUCAGGGGUGAAAUCCCGGGGCUCAACCCCGGAACUGCCUUUGAUACUGGGUGUCUAGAGUAUGGAAGAGGUGAGUGGAAUUCCGAGUGUAGAGGUGAAAUUCGUAGAUAUUCGGAGGAACACCAGUGGCGAAGGCGGCUCACUGGUCCAUUACUGACGCUGAGGUGCGAAAGCGUGGGGAGCAAACAGGAUUAGAUACCCCCGUAGUCCCUGUCUCUUAUACA
rnacentral:rRNA from 1 species